rnacentral:rRNA from 1 species
GACGAACGCUGGCGGCGUGCUUAACACAUGCAAGUCGAGCGGAAAGGCCCUUCGGGGUACUCGAGCGGCGAACGGGUGAGUAACACGUGAGUAACCUUCCCCAGACUUUGGGAUAACCCUCGGAAACGGGGGCUAAUACCGGAUACGACACAGCGUCGCAUGUGGUCUGUGUGGGAAGUUUUGCGGUUUGGGAUGGGCUCGCGGCCUAUCAGCUUGUUGGUGGGGUGGUGGCCUACCAAGGCCACGACGGGGAGCCGUCCUGAGAGGGCGACCGGCCACAUUGGGGCGGGAAUACGGCCCAGACUCCUACGGGCGGCAGCAGUGGGGAAUAGUGCAAAAUGGGCUGAAGCCUUAUGCAGCAACGCCGCGUGCGGGAUGACGGCCUUCGGGUUGUAAACCGAUUUCGCCUGGGAAGAAGCGUGAGUGACGGUAACGGGUAAAGAAGCACCGGCUAACUACGUG